rnacentral:rRNA from 1 species
CACGUAGGGCGCAAGCGUUGUCCGGAAUUAUUGGGCGUAAAGAGCUCGUAGGCGGUCUGUUGCGUCCGCUGUGAAAACUCGGGGCUUAACCCCCGAGCCUGCAGUGGAUACGGGCAGACUAGAGGUAGGUAGGGGAGAAUGGAAUUCCCGGUGUAGCGGUGAAAUGCGCAGAUAUCAGGAAGAACACCCGUGGCGAAGGCGGCUCUCUGGGACGGUACUGACGCUGAGACGCGAAAGCGUGGGGAGCGAACAGG